rnacentral:piRNA from 1 species
UCCUGAUGCCCAACAUCGGUUAUGGGAGC